ensembl:lincRNA
UGGGAUGCUCACUUCUUUGGACUGACAUCAUGGUCAAUAUACUUAGAGCCUGAAGCAGGCAGUCACCCUGGGCUCCACAGACUGGAGAAGGAAGGUCAAGGAAAGAUCACACAGGAGGCCAGGUUCAGGUCAAGAUCAGGCAAUUGUCCUCCAGAGGGUCCAAAAGCAAACCUACGGUUCUCCUAAAGUCAAAGAACAUGAGACGAAAGGCAAAUGAUUUAGUAUAGUUGACAUCCCCCUCCACUACAUUAUUCCUUUAACAUCUGGAUUUUAGAAACAUACCAUUAUCACCUACUGUGGCUUCAUGCACACACACAGCCCUUUUCAUUCAUACUGGCACAGCCCUGGGAAGAUGAUAAAAGUGUGUGUAUUACUAAUCAGACACCAAUAUGUAGGGGUACAGCCCAUGCUCAUUGGUGCUUGCUCACGGACAGGUGGGGGCAGAAAGUGAAAUAUCCACAAUCAGGCAUAUAGACAAUGAUGCCACACUCAAGGCACACAACCUUGGGCACCUAGACUAUAACCUCACACUCUUGCACACAUAACUACAGCCCUAGAAGCUCUAUACAAACGCACAGAAUUAGCAGAAUUAGAAAUUCCUAGCGGAAUUUAACAUUGGGGGGGGGUGAAAGGUGAACACAGUGUUAGACACCCUCACGCAGACUGCGCACGAAGAGGGAAUAAACACCUAUACCAAGAACACCUACACCGAGAACGAGCGCCCAGACGCGGGCCGUACCCAGAGCCGCCGACAGAGGGCGCUCCAGCGAGGUGGUGCCGGACCAGAAGCCUGGGACCCAGCAGGGCACUCCCGCCGCUGACAUUUCCGUUACCGCGCGCGGCCCCUCGUCCCCGCGGUGUUGGGAAGUUCCUGGGGUCCCGCCGAGUUUCAGAAGGGCGCAGAUUCCCAUGCUAACUUUCUCUGUAGUUUCUGCGGGCGGGAGAGCUGGAAACCCGGGCGAGAGCGGCGGAGCUUCCCAACCGCACACUUCCUCCGCCUGUCCCAUCCAGAGAGGGCGGGCGCUGCUGACUCGGCAGUCCCACUGGUUAUCCCACCUGGUGCUCCGGCUGGGCGGAGACCCGAGACCGCUCAGAGCGCCCUCUCCCAUCUCCUCUGCCGUGUGGGCUUCAAGUGAAGCAGAGGGUCUCCUCAACUUAAGAAAGCGAGGCUUCCUGUAUCUAAGACAAGACGUAUGUAGAUAUGAACAAAAAUGCCUCACCUGCAGCGUGGUCUGUAGUGAUACCUACCUGUGGUUAUUGGAACCCAGCCUGCUGGACCAAAGAAAGGAAGUCGGCCAGGCAGAUGUGAAAUCCAAAAGAGGACUUUCAUCCACUGCUAUCAACAGCUCUACCACCACAUGCCCCCAUGGAUUUUUUGGGAAGUAUUUUUGUGGUUUACCAGUCUCUCACUAGGCAGGGCCAUUGUCCUGGGUUGACCUUAUCCGCUGGUGGAAAGUACAGCUGGGACAUUUGGAAUGGUUACAGUUUGACUUUGAUUCUUGGCAGCUCACUGUCACUCUGAAGUUUUUUGGUGAGACCUUGAACCAAAUUUUGUUGUUGAGGAUUGCAGGUUGCCUCCUAAUCUUGGGGGACAUUUUGAGUCAUAACUGGCAGCAGCUUUUUGAUGACAACUCCAGCAAGCUCAGAGGAGAAGCCAUCUCUCUCUCUUAUAGGAAUAUGACUUUGGGUAAAUCACUUUGAACUCUGGACCUGUGGGUGUGAUCUAUACUCCCACUGAGCUCUGAUUUGCAGUGUGAGGC